AUGACAACUGGGUCCUUAUCACAUUUUCCUUCCCUUUCCAGCCUCAUUUCGGUCUUCUCCGUUCUGUUUGUAUUUGCCAGCACCCUCGUCCAGCCAGCCCUGUGUUGCCUUCAUCUUCUCCAGUUACCCAGGGAGACCCAAAAGUUGUCUCUUCUCCGAGUAGGGAACCAGUGGAAUGGAUCCCUGAAACUCAGUGAACAUAGCGUUGCUUCACUCCAGCAUUUCCAUGCACACGAGCAUUCUGUUACCUCUGACACAAUUGCAUCUGAACCUGCAUUACAAUGUUCAGCUCAUUACAAGUCAUGACAAAGCCCCGUUGGAACCAAAGAGGACUGACGCUCUUUAUAUGCCGAGAAGCUGUUCCCAUUGUAAGUGAAAGAAUUUUAGUUCAGGAAAUAUCAACCGGCGAUUGGCUUCACGGGCUGUUUACAGACCAGCUACUUUUCGCCUUUCGUGUCUCGCGUGCUGUACUGAGGCAGUCUUAGGCUUUGAAGCUAGUCUCCUCAAAUGUGAUCUAAGAUGAUAAAAAUCACACCAGGCCCCAACUGGAUCUUUAUGUCACAAAACUGCCCCUUUUUCCCCUCUCCCUCCUGUCCUCCAUUCAGAGCUAAAACAAACCACUUCAUAAGAACCUCAUAAAUUUUUCCCUCUGUGCAUUCUAGUUAAAAGACCCUCCUGUGCCGGUGCAUUCUGCUCUGUGGGGACACUGUGUCACAAAUCUGCUUGUGGGGAGAUCAAAGUGGGACAUUCUCAGCUCACAGAACGCCUGAUGUGUCCCUGUAAUGCAUCUAGCGGGUCUUUGAGUGCACUCACUUUCAAAAGGCGAAGGGGAAAGGGGGCGUUUUAUCACAGUCCAUAACACAUUCAAAUUUCGAUACAGUUUGUAAACUCAAAAGUAAUUAUACCUUCGGCAGAUAAAUGGCUUUGGUCGCUUUCUCCGGAACCACUCCCGUCGUAGAAAUCGCUGGAUUCUUUCUGGCAUGGAAUAAUUCAUUCUCUUUUCUUCCCAACAGAAAAGUUCUAACUUGAUUUGUAAAUUGUGAAUACCACUUCCUGAUCUUUAAAAAUGUCUGAUAUGGAGAGGUGUUCUGGAGUCAGAACAGCCUGGAGUCAGUUAAGCUGUUUCAUACCUAUAAACUUUGAGCCACAGCAUCGUUUCUUCGCAGGAUCAUUCAUCAAUAACAAUUCAUUUCCUUUACCACGCAAUCUUUGCUGAGAAUCCACUAUACGGUAUAGUAGGUAUCAAAGGUGGGAGAAACUUUAAGAAAUCACCUUCGCGUACUGGUGACCCUCAUUUUUUAUAGAGCCAGAAUCUGAAAUUCACCCAACAGUACACAUUUAUGAAGUGUUAUAUUUUAUCUAGUCUCUAAACACCAAAGAUUGUAAAAUAUACCAUUGCUACAUGGACCGGUAAGACAGAAAAAGAAAUAUGGCGGAUUGAAAUUAUGAAUUCACUUGGACAGUAAGACGGAAAUUCAUAUCCCAGUUGCAGAGAGAUUGUAAGUGUAAGUCUACCCCAUUAAUACAAACAUACCUCUCGUUCAUGAAAUACAUAAUUUGCACCCUCAUUUUUCGUAAACAGAACAUUGUAGAGAAUAGGCAUAUAUCCUCUCCUAAGGGAAGGGGAAAUCAGGAUAGCUGUUUAGGUUGGGGAGGCGGGCAGCCACCGGAAGAGGAAGUAGAAGAUAGGACUGCACCCAGAUGUAAGACAUUCUUUGGCUAGAGGCUGUCCUAGAAUCAGAAACAUAUUACUUGGGCCCAUGCAAGGCAUAAGUUUCCAAUAUCCUUGUCUGGUUAUAGACCUUUCCUUCUCGCAGCUUGUGAUUUUUUUUUUUUUUGUAGGACACCACCUCAAUGACAGCAAUUGGGCAAAGCUCCUAUGCACUUGGGGUUGACUUCAGGGAGGCACUGAUGGUGGCUGUUCCCCACUGCUCCCACUGCUGGUAGAUGUGCCCUUGUGCAUUUGGGAGAAGCGUGUACUUGGGAGCUGCCUCUCUCGUCCCCUCAGGGCUUGGCUUGAUUGUCUCUAGCAAACCCGAGCCACCUCUGGGGCUCAGGGGAGUAAUGCUAGCCUCUUCACAGGGAAUGGCUGGGAUCCUUGGCUUAAGAACAGCAGUUGGUUAUUAGAAAUAAACGUGAUGUGGGGCUCCUGGGUGGCUCA
rnacentral:lncRNA from 1 species